UGGAUUCUUGAGAUUUUAUUUACGAUAGUGAACUUUAAGCACAGAGAAGAUUAGCAUGGCCCCUGUGCAAGGAUGACAUGCAAAUUCGUGAAGCGGUACAUCUUCUU